GGGGUGAUCUACCCAUGGUCAGGUUGAAGCAGAGGUAAGACUGUGUGGAGGACCGAACCCACCAGGGUUGAAAACCUGGGGGAUGAACUGUGGGUAGGGGUGAAAGGCCAAUCAAACUCCGUGAUAGCUGGUUCUCCCCGAAAUGCAUUUAGGUGCAGCGUCGCGUGGUCCCUGGUGGAGGUAGAGCUACUGGAUGGCCGAUGGGCCCUUUGGGUUACUGACGUCAGCCAAACUCCGAAUGCCAUUAGGUGUAGCGCGGCAGUGAGACUGCGGGGGAUAAGCUUCGUAGUCGAGAGGGAAACAGCCCAGAUCAUCAGCUAAGGCCCCUAAGCGUACGCUAAGUGGGAAAGGAUGUGGAGUCGCGGUGACAACCAGGAGGUUGGCUUAGAAGCAGCCAUCCUUGAAAGAGUGCGUAAUAGCUCACUGGUCAAGUGGUUCUGCGCCGACAAUGUAGCGGGGCUCAAGCGUACCGCCGAAGCUGUGGCAACAACACGCAAUGCUGGCGCCAGGAACUGGAGUGCUGGUGUGUUGUUGGGUAGGGGAGCGUCCUGCACGAGGUGAAGCCUGGAGGGAACUUCUGGUGGAUUGUGUGGGAGUGAGAAUGCAGGCAUGAGUAACGAAUCUGCGGUGAGAAUCCGCAGCGCCGAUUGACUAAGGGUUCCAGGGCUAGGUUUAUCCGCCCUGGGUUAGUCGGGUCCUAAGCUGAGGCCGACAGGCGUAGUCGAUGGACAACCAGUUGAUAUUCUGGUACCGCGUUAUGACCGCCCAUGCUGAAGUCAUUGUGCUAACCAAUCUGCUCACGCCGCCACUAAGCCUUCGGGUUUGUUGGUGUGUGUGGGUCUUGGGGCCCCGGUGAUUGUAGGCAAGCGUGUUAACAGGGGUGACGCAGACAGGUAGCUGCAGUGCGCCGAUGGUUGUGCGUAUUUAAGGUUGUGGCCCGCCGCCCAGGUAAAUCCGGGGGGCACUAGGGGUGAGAACUGAUGAGGGACACACGCGUGUGUGGACUUGUGGUGAUCCUAUGCUGCCGAGAAAAGCCUCGACGUGAGGGCAUAACGCGCCCGUACCCUAAACCGACUCAGGUGGUCAGGUAGAGUAUACCGAGGCGUUCGAGUGAAUCGUGGUUAAGGAACUCGGCAAAAUUCCUCCGUAACUUCGGGAUAAGGAGGACCCCGUGACUUCCCCGUGCCUUGCGCGCGGUGUGGGGUUGUGGGGUCGCAGAGAAUAGGGAGAAGCGACUGUUUAUCAAAAACACAGGUGCGUGCGAAGCCGUAAGGCGAUGUAUACGCACUGACGCCUGCCCGGUGCUGGAAGGUUAAGAGGAACCGUCAACACUCCUUUGGGGUGUGAAGCGGUGAAUUUAAGCCCCAGUAAACGGCGGUGGUAACUAUAACCAUCCUAAGGUAGCGAAAUUCCUUGUCGGGGAAGUUCCGACCUACACGAAUGGCGUAACGA
rnacentral:rRNA from 1 species